UUCAGGCUUAAAAGCAAAUGCUUGUGUUUAAAGGCGUUGGUCUAGACGCUAUUGGAAAACCCCGUCUCAGAUGAAAAUCUGGCGACCUUGGAAAUGUGUAGCAGGUGUUAACUGCCAAUUCCGAUUUGACUCCGAUCCAGUGAGAGACAGAACAACCGGCAGCUGCUAAUAAAGAGCCACAGUAAUUAUGACGCACAUGAAAGUCCUGAGCUCGUGCGCCUCGGGCUGUUGUGCUCCAUCUUUAGAGGCCUGGAUCUUGGGAAAAGUGGCUUCAGUGGCUUUAAAACAUUCGGUUCAGGCAUGGAAGAAAUCACUCCAGGAAAAAAAAAAUCUUUGGAGAAGCUGCAUAAUAUCCAUUUGGAGCGUCAAAUUAAAAUAUUGUUAUCUAAUGUUCACGAAAUAAGUAUUCAAGUACAUACAGUAUAUCAGACACGAUAUAUUUGUUAUUCUUACACCUCAAUAAUCUGCCAAUGUGAACAAGUUAUUUCUUAAAGAAUGACAUCUGCUUAUUCAUUUAUAGUUAUGUGUAGUGAUGUGGAAUGACCAUGAAACAAAAUAGUUCCUGUUAUUAUUCAUGUUACAGCAGCUAUAAACAGUCGUUUCCUCACCUCACAAAAAAAUGCAGCUUAUGUUACUGAUACACAGUCCUCCAUCUCGAAGACACUCGUGUGUCGGAAAAUGUGAGGCGCUUUCACAAAUAUUAGUCUGAAUCAGAGCAAAAUUGAUACUUUUGGUUUGUUUGCUAUUCGGUUUUUUUAGUUUCACACUGCACAUCAUUAAAUGAAUCAAAACACAAAUACUUUGGCUGGCGGUUGUGUAGGGCUUUAAACAUUCUUGUAAAAAUCUUUUAUUCAUUGGAAAGGUGAUGCAAAAUUGUACAAAGUUUUCCCAUGUGUGUAGAA